rnacentral:lncRNA from 1 species
AGGAAGCGAGGCGAGCCUCAGGUGGACGCGGUGGUGUGGACCACGGCGAUCAGGGCCUUUCCCCCUGCUGUGGAGACGGAGGUGCGAGGGGACGCCGGCGGCUCCCCACCUUCUGGCCGAGUGGCCUUCUCCGCCUCCGGCUGGACUCCCUCGGGGCGCUCCCUCCAGAGCCGAGUCGGGCUGGCCGGGGGCGGCUGUUUGGCCUGAGUGUCGUCUUACUAAAGCGGAACGCCGGAGGGGAGGCCACUCCGAGAGAAGGCGGUCCCCGGCGGAGGUGGCUUCGUGAAUCCUGCAGCCCCCUGCCCGCCCGCCACUCGAGACGCCGCGCCUCGUGGGUUUCACGCUGGAUGGAGGGGGCGCCGCCGAGGAUGCCCAGCCUCCCCCUCUAAUUCUACCUCUCCAGUUCCUCAGGCUCAACCAAAUGCCUCUGCCAGGAGAAUCUUUCAGAGUGUCCUGGAACAUUGGAAAUAGGCUUAAAGCUUAAAUGAUGAAUCAGAAGAGUUAUGCUGUAUUCUAAUGCUGCCACUAGGGCCACACAGGGUGCCAACAUCCAAUCUCAAGAUCUUCGGGAAAUAUGCUCACCCUCCAAAAUACUUACAGAUGUGUCUCCUCUUUUUUGUAAAAUAAAUGCUCUUCUUAUAUUUGGUGUUUCCUUGGUAUGGCCACAAGAUUAUUUAGUAUGACAUAUUUAAUGGUGAAGAUAAAG